rnacentral:lncRNA from 13 species
AUAAUCUAAUGAGGCUGUGACCCAAAAUUUUAAGUAAAAUGGUUUCCAUGUAAACAAUGGAGCCAAAGAGCACCACAGAAGAACAUCAUGUACUAACCAGGUCUGGCCCUGCUCAGAACAGCAGCAUAUAAUAUGGAUACAUGGAACUCUAACCUGCUUUUUCAUUCAAUUGCAAAAUGAAGAUGGUAUUACAAUUCAAAGACCUUUCAAGAUUAGAUGACACCGGGCAUGUCCACGGUGGUAUGGCCUACCCAUGGCCCAAAAUUACAUUCAGGUCAACCCUGAAGACGGGUUGGAGUUCUAACCCAGCCUUCAUUCUUGAAUAGAACUCCAACCCUCCCAUGACUACACUGAUACACAAAAACAAUCAACAAAAGGCAAUCCAGCUGCUGCAGCAACAAACCCCAAGACUACCCACACUGAUGGCCUCCCUCUGUUAGGCUUGUUCAACUUGCAAACAGAAAUUCCUUUAAAAACUUACCAAGUUUUUGAGAACAACAGAUCCCGUCAUCUGGACCCACAAAAGACAUUUACCCGUCUAGAUGCAGAUGUUCUUCUGAGGCAAUCAGAAAUAUAGUUGAAGUCCUCAGCAGCAGGGCCAAAGAGAGACAGAAAUCCACCUCCGGCCAAAAAUGGUUGGGCAACAGCUAGAAGGGACUGCAAAACUCUCUGGGCCCACAGCAGCUGUGCCGAUACAACAUGUCCUGGUCAGAGAAGCAAAAUCUGUUACUGACACCAGUUCAGUCUCGAGCCGUUUGCUUGCAACACAAAAAGAUCAAUUGGAGACAGUAACAUUUGCUGAGUAUGAGAAGGAAGGUAUAUAAGAAAGAGAUUUGAAGACUUGAUGAGAAUUUUGGAAAUAGGAAAUGAUUUCAACUCCACAUGGAGAGAGUGUCUGCUGAAGUACAAGAAUUUUUAAGGAGGACCUGUCAGCAUAAUUGAGUUGAGGUGCCUUGAUUGAUUGUCAGCAAUGCUCAGUAGCUGAUUGCAGGACUUCAAAACUCACAGAGUGGAACAGACUGAAUAAAAUUGCAAAACUAUGCUAACGAAAUAACA